UUUUUUAAUUAAGAUAAUUAAAGGCAAAUAUGUUAGCGCGAUUUGUUUCAUAGCCUUGUUUCUUUUACAGAUGAUCCCGAUCUAUGUGACCUAUGAUCCAGCUCAGGGUUUGCCCUCUAUUCUCAGCAAUCUGCCAGGCGUGGUGAACCCUGGACCUGGAGGUGUUGGUGGCCCAUUUCUGGUAAGACAAUUUACUGUUCAUCAUUAUUACUAGAUUGUAGCACUGUGGCGGGGGGAGGGGGGAUAUCUACACUGCACUGUGGAAAUCGGCCCAUAAUGUUCACCAAAUAACCGUGUGACUGACCUCUGUUACAAGAAUGCAGUGUACUGAUUUUUUGCCUCUCUCUAGAUCCCUUAUCCUGGAAUUCCUGGGGCGGGCUUCCCACCUAUUGUGGGGGUAUUUUUAUACUUCUAUUGGUACUAAUAACAACCAGCUGGCGUCUGGGGGGGCUGGUUUAUGCCCCCUCAAAAUUGUGCACCCAGGGCCACGGCCUCCCUGCUUCCCCCACUAUGCCCCUGCCCCUACCGAAAAGGUUCAGUUUCUAUGCCCCUCAUCCACAGCCAUAAUCAUCAUCAUCAUCAUCAUAAAUUUUAUUUAUAUCCCGCCCUCCCCAGCCAAAGCCAGGCUCAGAGCGGCUAACAACAGUAGAACGAUAAAACAUUCUAAAAUCAUUCAUUAUAAAAUUAAUUCAAAUCAGAUUAAUGGCAACCAUUGGGCUAGAAGUUCUGUGAGGAUUGCCAAAGGAGGGAGUCAGGCUGUGCCCUGGCCAAAGGCCUGGCAGAACAGCUCCGUCUUGCAGGACCUGCAGAAAGAUGUCAAGUCCCGCAGGGCCCUAGUCUCUUGUGACAGAGCGUUCCACCAAAUCGGGGCCACAGCCGAAAAAGCCCUGGCUCUGGUUGAGGCCAGCCUGACCUCUCUGUGGCCUGGGACCUUCAGGAUGUUUUUAUUUGAAGACCGUAAGUUCCUCUGUGGGGCAUACCAGGAGAGGCGGUCCCGUAGGUACAAGGGUCCUAGGCCAUAUAGGGCUUUGAAGGUUAAAACCAGCACCUUAAACCUGAUUCUGUACUCCACCAGGAGCCAGUGCAGCUGGUAUAGCACUGGGUGA
rnacentral:lncRNA from 1 species